CCCACAUGCAAGGAUUAGGGGAUAUUGUAUUUAUACCAUUAUUUUAUGUAAUCCUUGCACAUAAAUUAAACGAAAUAAAUAUGUUGAUGGUCAGUUUGGUACAUACAUAUUUAAACCUUAUAAAAAUGCAAAACCAAAUACUGUAGCUUAUGAAAACUAACAUGUGGUGUUAUUACUUAUGCGCCCCUAAAUUCAAUGAAUUGCCAAUUUUACCCUUUAUUGUUUCUGUUUCUUUGGUGGCCUGGCUUUUGGAAGCUAUCUCAGCCAGUUGUCUUCUUUCUCUCUCUUAACUCUUAAGUCUUCUUCCUUGUUCUCCUCUCACUAUAUUUCUCUCUCCUCUCGUUUCUCCUCUCCCCGCUCUCACUCGCUAUCUCCUCCAUUGGAGCAGUUUCCGAGGUUCAGGUGAAACCAAUAAUCAGUUCCGCCCCCAUUUGUGGCUCCCUACAACAAAGGCCUCCUCUGAGCAGGAAGUUCCGCCCCCAUUUGUGGCUCCCUACAACAAAGGCCUCCUCUGAGCAGGGGAUAAAGGAAGGAUGUGGCUUCUGAACCUGCUGCUUCUUCAGGGAAAACUCCUCCUAUUCUUGCUGUAAUAAUCCUUCUUGACUCGCAUCUAUACUUGUUAUGAUGUGUGCUAUUUGGUUCUGCAGGAACAAAUUCAUCUUUGAAAACAUAACAUUUACCAUAGUUCACACAAAGUAUUCUUUAGAACUGCAGCUCAUGACUACCCUUCUGCAUCAGGUUGGAUCUCCCCUAAAGGUUCAGGUGAAACCAAUAAUCAGUUUCGCCCCCAUUUGUGGAUCCCUACAACAAAGGCCUCCUCUGAGCAGGGGAUAAAGGAAGGAUGUGGCUUCGAACCUGCUUCUUCAGGGAAAACUCCUCCUAUUCUUGCUGUAAUAAUCCUUCUUGACUCGCAUCUAUACUUGUUAUGAUGUGUGCUAUUUGGUUCUACAGGAACAAAUUCAUCUUUGAAAACAUAACAUUUACCAUAGUUCACACAAAGUAUUCUUUAGAACUGCAGCUCAUGACUACCCUUCUGCAUCAGGUUGGAUCUCCCCUAAAGGUAUUAUCAUGUUCAAUGUGGACGCUAAUAAUUUGGUCUCUAGAUCACAUUUUGGGUUGGGGGUGGUUGCAAAAAACAAGUUUGAAAUUGGGCAGUGUUGCUUGCUUCAAUUAAGAGGUGUAGUGGUUUUUUUUUUGGGUUAAAUUUGAGUGAUGUAUCGUUUUUUUGGGUUGAUUUUUUAUAUUGUUAGUAGCAUUAUUGUCUGAUUUGUAACAGAAUUGUUGAUCUACAAGUACAAUUCUAUCUCCCCUUUCUCUUUCUUGUUCUAAUUGGUUCAAUUUUCAUCUAACCUUUAAUAUGAACAGCUUAAUCUAGACACCCAUUUGUGUCUCCCCAAAACCAAACCCAGUGAUGAGUAC